UUGCUGGUCCCCAAACUGGGGGCAUGUGCACACUCUGUUUGCACAUCCACUCACACCUGUGCACACUCCGUAGUUCUAUGGCCUGGGGGACUCUGUCCGCCCAUGCUGUGGUUCUAGACAUUUACACACACCCCCUGUAAUAAAGUAUAAUGGAAUGCAUGCUGCGUUUAACGCAAUACAAUACAACUUUCAGCAACGGAUCUCUUGGCUCUCGCAUCGAUGAAGAACGCAGCGAAAUGCGAUAAGUAAUGUGAAUUGCAGAAUUCAGUGAAUCAUCGAAUCUUUGAACGCACCUUGCGCCCUUUGGCUAUUCCGAAGGGCAUGCCUGUUUGAGUAUCAUGAACACCUCAACUCUCAUGGCUUGCCAUGAUGAGCUUGGACUUUGGGGGUCUUGCUGGCCUGCAAGGUCCGCUCCUCUCAAAUGGAUCAGCUUCCCAGUGUUUGGUGGCUUCACCGGUGUGAUAAAUAUCUACGCUUGUGGCUCCCUGCCAGAUAACCUUCAGUGAUGGAGGUACACUGGAGCUCAUAAAUGUCUCUCCUCAGCGAAGACAGCUUUUUGAAUGUUUGAUCUCAAAUCAGGUAGGACUACCCGCUGAAC
rnacentral:rRNA from 1 species